rnacentral:lncRNA from 1 species
AAAAUUUAAACAAGGGUAUCCCGGUAGAAAACGAAAAAAUCAGUAUAUUGUUGUACGCCGAUGAUAUUGCUUUAGUGACUGAAAAUGAACGCGAUAUGCAAGUUGUUCUUGACGUACUUAAUAAAUGGUGUGAGAAAUGGAGAUUAAACGUAAAUAGUGCAAAAUCAAGUGUUAUGCACUUCCGGAAAGGUCGAACUCCACG